rnacentral:rRNA from 1 species
CACGUAGGGUGCGAGCGUUGUCCGGAAUUAUUGGGCGUAAAGAGCUCGUAGGCGGUGUGUCGCGUCGGCCGUGAAAACCUGCAGCUUAACUGUGGGCUUGCGGUCGAUACGGGCAUCACUGGAGUUCGGCAGGGGAGACUGGAAUUCCUGGUGUAGCGGUGAAAUGCGCAGAUAUCAGGAGGAACACCGGUGGCGAAGGCGGCGUCCUGGACCAAUACUGACACUGAGGAGCGAAAGCCAGGGGAGCAAACGGG